rnacentral:rRNA from 1 species
CCUACGGGAGGCAGCAGUGGGGAAUAUUGGUCAAUGGGCGAGAGCCUGAACGAGCAAAGUCGCGUGAAGGAUGAAGGAUCUAUGGUUUGUAAACUUCUUUUAUAGGGGAAUAAAGUGAGGAACGUGUUCCUUUUUGUAUGUACCAUAUGAAUAAGCAUCGGCUAACUCCGUGCCAGCAGCCGCGGUAAUACGGAGGAUGCGAGCGUUGUCCGGAUUUAUUGGGUUUAAAGGGUGCGCAGGCGGUUAAUUAAGUCAGAGGUGAAAGUCUGUGGCUCAACCAUAAAAUUGCCGUUGAAACUGGUUAACUUGAGUACAGAUGAGGUGGGCGGAAUGCGAGGUGUAGCGGUGAAAUGCAUAGAUAUCACGCAGAACUCCGAUUGCGAAGGCAGCUUUCUAAACUAUAACUGACACUGAAGCACGAAAGCGUGGGGAUCAAACAGGAUUAGAUACCCUUGUAGUC